AAUUGAAUAUAGAAGAAGGACUUUGGAAAGUGGUGACCGUUGAAGACCGGAGAAGGUCGAACAUUAAACAAUUAUUUCUUUUUAAGAAAAUGAUUAAAUAGGCCUACCAUUUUAUGAAUAAUUCCGAGCAAAAUUUUAAUAAAGUAAACACACAAGUUUACGCAGAAAAUAUCUCUAUUUAUUAUGGCAGAUGCCCCUACGAAUAUUUUAAUUCUGUAAAUUUUCAGUAUAAACAAUUCAUUGUUUGUAAAAUUUGAGAUACAUAUUAAAGAAAUAUUGAUAAUUUUCAAACACUCCUUUAUUUAAAUUGUCCACCUUAAACGGUAAAAUAAUUAUAGAAAAUUAGAAAUAUCACGUAAUAGUUUUUUGUUCUUGAUAAGCUGUAAUUCGGACUAAUUCCCUACAGGUAAAUCCGUAACGUACCGGCAAACGGUAUUUAGCUAGGUUUUCGAAAAGGUCAAUUAACCAAUCAUGUACGGUUUACAGAUCACAUGCUCCUCCAUGUACCGAAAACAGGUCACGUGCUCCUCCAUGCCUCAAAAGUUAAACGCGUACCAAUACCCUGCGGUCUCCAGACCGCAGGGAAUGGAGACCGCAGGAACAAAUUGUAUUAUAAGGCUUGCGUAUACAAUCGAUUGCCACCGAUACCUGUGUUACACCAUGAAAAUGUUACAAUUUUACCAUGACACCGCUUGCGUCAUUCCUCCUAUAUUUCCAAUACGGCCGCUUUCAAUAAUUUUCAACGAUUUAAAAAAAUAAAGUGGAAUAUUUAGACUUCUGUUCGACUUUGAAGUAUGAUAAUUUGGAACCUUACAUAAAAACGGUUCUCUUUCAGGAAAAGUAGGCCAUUUCUUUUAAACUUUUCUAGUUUUCACUCCCAACAACUUCUAAUUGGGAAGCGUCCGUGCAUAAGUUGGACUUUGAAAAAAGACAGCGCCCGUCCAAAAUUAUCUCGGUGUCUCUUUGACAUGUCUAAUUAGUUGGACUAGGUAUGACAUAACAUAAACCAAUGUAGAGAUCUUCAAUGGUAUUCAACGUACAUGACUUUAUCUUGAUCCAUAAGAUGUCAUCUUUACUUUGAUACACAGGCAUAUCUGGGGAGAACAGUUUAUUUCUAAUGUACAAAAUUAUAUCUCCAGAAUUACGCUAACACGAUUUUUAAUCAUAGUUCUGUUCAAUACAAAAUAUUCAAAACCUUUCACGUUUAAUUCCGAAAACUCAUUUGUCCAUGGUUCAGUUAAUAAAAUUAUGUCAUUAUUAUCAAAAGUUGAUUUUAACUCUUCAGAUUCCAGUUUAUUAGUUCAUUUGUUACCAAACCAUUUAUAUUCAAUAAUGCAAUACGAAUUUGUACCUUCCCCGACAUAUCCUAGUUAUUGCCUUUAUGCGCUUUCGGUGUAAGUGGGUCAGCGAUGGAUUUACCUGUUGAUCUAUUUUUAGACGCAGGUGAACCCCCGUUUCUAUUUCUAGACAUACUUCGAUUACUUGUGUCCGGGAAACAUGUGACACACCUUUUCGUACUGUGUUUUCAUUUUGUGUUGAGUGUGUUGUUGACCUGUCAUAUUCUAAGGUACUUGAUGGAUUUAAGAUUUUGGGACUACUGUUAUCAUGAAGCAAGAUGUUGAGGGUAGGUGUAUCUUUGGCACGGUAGCUUUGGUAAUGAUGAUGAAGACACUAUGGAAGCUUGAUGCCGUGGUCCGUGAUAAUUUAUAUAUGACCAUGUGCGACAUGACGUGUUUUAUCAUGGUUUUGAUGGAGAGAUAUAGAAUCUAUCAGGGCAUGUCUAUUAUAAAAGAUGGCGGGAACUAUUGGAACGGCCUUAAUCCCGCCCAUCAGCAUAACUAUAUCGUUGAUUUAUUUAUAAACCAAAUGUUUAGAAUCAAACGUUAUUAAGUAAAAUAUAUUGGCUUUAUUUAAAGUAUAUCAGUCUAAUGAUAAUUUGAUCUUGAGUUGAUUUUUUACAAUACAAGUUUGCAUUUCGUUUAAUAACAGUUAACUGAUCUUCCGUCGGACACUUUUGAAGAUUUUACAUAACAUAUAGUUUAAUAUAUAUACUCGCAUUCGAAUACAUUUAUAGGCUUGUAUCUGUCUGGCUUGGCAGUAAAAACCAGUGAAUAUAAAAAACGUUUUGAUAAUCAUUUACUUUUGUUAAUUAUGAUAUUGAUAACUUUUAAAAUGACAGUAUAUCGGUUAGGCAUAUGUUUAUGGCAGAAAAAUGCAAAGGGACACAAUAACCCGGACGUCUGAACACCUUUCAAUGUUUUCCUGCAAACUAUUCUGUCAAUCUGUAUGCCAUAAUUAACUAUUGACGAAGUGAUUAAGCAGUAUAACAGUCACAUAUAUGUAUAUGUAUAUUCAAGGUUGAAAACGUCAUAUAUGUAAGUUUAGUACAAAUGAGUUCCAUCUGAGACACAUAAUCACUGUGUUAAUGUAUAUCAGUAAAGUUACUUACAGGUUUGCUGUAUUUGUAUUAUGCUGAAGACACUUUAAAGACAUAUAAGUAGUCUCGUAUCUUUACAUCUUUAAAUUUUCAUAAAUACUUGUAAGUGCAUUUCAGUCAAAUUUUCCUCUUGGCCAUAUUCCUAAUAAAUUUAAACUUAUUUCAUUAUUCAA